ACCUCUUGAGUAUGGCCAGUACAUUUGCCUUCCAAGCAGAAAGAUUAAGAAAACUUAAAGGAGGUA
rnacentral:tRNA from 1 species